UACGAAGGGUGCAAACGUUGCUCGGAAUCAUUGGGCGUAAAGCGCACGUAGGCGGCCCCACAAGUUGGAUGUGAAAUCCCUCGGCUCAACCGAGGACGUGCAUCCAAAACUGUGGGGCUUGAGUACUGAAGAGGAUCGCGGAAUUCCCGGUGUAGAGGUGAAAUUCGUAGAUAUGUGGAGGAAUACCGAUGGCGAAGGCAGCCCCCUGGGAUAACACUGACGCUCAUGCACGAAAGCGUGGGGAGCAAACAGG
rnacentral:rRNA from 1 species